GACGAACGCUGGCGGCGUGCUUAACACAUGCAAGUCGAACGCUGAAGCUCAGCUUUUGUUGGGUGGAUGAGUGGCGAACGGGUGAGUAACACGUGAGUAACCUGCCUCCUUCUUUGGGAUAACGCCCGGAAGCGGGUGCUAAUACUGGAUAUUCACUGGUCUUCGCAUGGGGGUUGGUGGAAAGGGUUUUUCUGGUGGGGGAUGGGCUCGCGGCCUAUCAGCUUGUUGGUGGGGUGAUGGCCUACCAAGGCUUUGACGGGUAGCCGGCCUGAGAGGGUGACCGGUCACAUUGGGACUGAGAUACGGCCCAGACUCCUACGGGAGGCAGCAGUGGGGAAUAUUGCACAAUGGGCGCAAGCCUGAUGCAGCGACGCCGCGUGAGGGAUGGAGGCCUUCGGGUUGUGAACCUCUUUCGCUCAUGGUCAAGCCGCAACAAUGGUUGUGGUGAGGGUAGUGGGUAAAGAAGCGCCGGCUAACUACGUG
rnacentral:rRNA from 1 species